rnacentral:rRNA from 1 species
AUGAAAGGGAAUACUGUACAGUGGCGUUUAACAGGCUUUUAUGAGCACCCCAACUGGAGUGACCGUGCUUUGUCAUGGGAUGAUAUUCGAAAUUUGUAUGAGAAGGGCGAUCACCCAUGGGUUGUUUUAGGAGAUUUUAAUGAAAUUUUGUUAUCAUCAGAGAAAGAGGGAGGGAAUGUGAGACCAAAUGUGAUGAUGAGAGAUUUUCGUAAUUGUCUGGGAGAAUGUGGACUAGCAGAUAUGGGUUGUAUGGGUGACUUAUUUACAUGGAGGAGGGGCGAAAUCAGGGAAAGACUAGAUCGAGCGGUCUGUAAUGUGGAUUGGGCGAAUAAAUUCCCUCGAGCGGCGGUUAUUAACGAAGAACAUGUACACUCACACCAUCGCCCUAUUAUU